GCCCUGGUGGUCUAGUGGUUAAGAUUCAGCACUCUAACUGCCACGGCCCGGGUUUGUUUCCUGGUCAGGGAA
rnacentral:tRNA from 1 species